rnacentral:rRNA from 1 species
GACGAACGCUGGCGGCGUGCUUAACACAUGCAAGUCGAAUGGAAAGGCCCUGCUUUUGUGGGGUGCUCGAGUGGCGAACGGGUGAGUAACACGUGAGUAACCUGCCCUUGACUUUGGGAUAACUUCAGGAAACUGGGGCUAAUACCGGAUAGGAGCUCCUGCUGCAUGGUGGGGGUUGGAAAGUUUCGGCGGUUGGGGAUGGACUCGCGGCUUAUCAGCUUGUUGGUGGGGUAGUGGCUUACCAAGGCUUUGACGGGUAGCCGGCCUGAGAGGGUGACCGGCCACAUUGGGACUGAGAUACGGCCCAGACUCCUACGGGAGGCAGAAGUGGGGAAUAUUGCACAAUGGGCGGAAGCCUGAUGCAGCAACGCCGCGUGCGGGAUGACGGCCUUCGGGUUGUAAACCGCUUUCGCCUGUGACGAAGCGUGAGUGACGGUAAUGGGUAAAGAAGCACCGGCUAACUACGUG